AAAGUACUCCCUCCGUCCCAAAAUUCCUGUCUUAGAUUUGUCUAGAUACGGAUGUAUCAAGUCACAGAUACAUCCGUAUCUAGACAAAUCUAAGACAAGAAAUUUGGGACAGAGGGAGUAGUUG
rnacentral:pre_miRNA from 1 species